GUAAAGGCUAUGAAGGUUGGGGGUGCACAAGAAGAUGGAAGGUGACACAGCCGAGACAGCAGACCCCAAGUGACCAAAGGGGUGUCCCAUAUGUACCAUAUGACAUCGUGCUCAGCGAUAAAAGCUCAGGGUAAGGAGGAAGGGAGGACGCUCCGAGUUACGGCAUUUAUCUUCCUGAGUAACUGUUAUGUGUGAUGAAGCCCUGCUCUGCAGACGGUGGUUUGGGGAGUCUCACCUGAUCCAUCUCAAAAUGCCGUUGCAAGGAGCCUUGUGACAAACUCCUGGUGCCACCCAGACAGCAACCACCCAUCCUGCUAAAGAGAUUUGAUUCCACCAUAUUAAGAUAAUUUUCCCCAAGUCAAGUCUGUUUUGCCUGCCAGAGUACCUGGUAAGCAACCACCCUGUCUUUAUCUUGACCCACAAGCUUUCUUGUCUGUGUUCUUCCUAUUUCCACCCCGAUCCUGCUGGGGGGGGGGGGGGGGUGAGCAAGCAGGUGGGCGGGGGUUUGGCCAUUAGCCAAGGCUAACCCACCACAGCUAUCGACAAUGGUCAAAGCUGCAUUCCAGAUUAGACAAUGAAGGGAAUGAAGUGAUAAAUGCCUGAAAAUGGGAUCUUCCCAGCAAAUAAUCACAUGGUUACAGCCAUCACAGAAGUUGUUCUACAUUGCUGUAAGAAGAGUUGAAAUAUUGAUUCUGUGUGCCAUUAGAACAUGAAUUUAUUCUGUGUUUACAGUCUAAGAAAUCAAAUGCUUAACAAAAGACAGACAUUAAAAACAUAAUACAAUCCUCUCCAAAGAAAUGGUGCAACAACAGACACCUCUUCAGGAUCAUAUCCAGAAGGACAACUGCAGCCCUUUCCACCCAAUGGUCCUCAGAUUCCAGCACCGUGAGUCUUUUCCAGUUUGGCACUGUAAGUCAAGCGCUCUGUACGCAGUGACUUACUGAUUUCACUCCCUUUUCACAGUGCACAAAUAGCACGACAAAAUAUAAUAAACUAUGUAAUUUUUAUAUUUCAACCCUCUGCAUUUGUUUAACUCAUUGCAAUCAUAAACUGCUACUCUUGAGGAAUAUGUUCUGAGGGGCCUAACUGUGCACUGUUGAAAGUGAAGUAUUCAUACAUUUUUGCUUUAUAGUCCCAGUGCAGUGAAACAUAAUCAUCCGUGGUGUGACACAGCUGUGAUAAUGGUGAAUGGUGAAAGGUGAUGUGUGAAAUAGCUAUGAACCUUCCUGAAGAGUGGUCUGAACACUUCCUGAAUCACCUGAAAGCAUCCUGUUUCAAGAAGUAGGACACCAAAGCAAGAGUUACAAGAUAAUAAAGCAUAUUGGUGUUUUUUGUGAGGGAGUGUAGAGAAAGUGUGGUUAAGUUAAAAUUGACCAUCUAGAUGAUGCCAGUGUUAGUAGUAGCUUCUGCCUGGAGAAUUAUGUGCUAUCAAGGAAAUCAAUGUUGAAAUGAAGUGAUCUUGACUUAUGUUGGAUUAGGCAGAUUCGAGAUCCAGAAAAACAAAUUUCAGAUACUCCUAAAUUAUGAAUUGUAUGGCCAGAUAGUCUGUAAAUUGUUAAUUGGUCCAAGAAUGACCAACUCAGCCUUACAAUAAUUAAAAUUAAAAACUCUCCAAAUAUUGUCUCAUUCCAUUUUAGUAUCUUUAGGCGGCCACAGUGAUUUAUCAUUUAAAGGCACUCAGAUUUAUAAGCAAUCUAAGGAGUAUUCAUGAAUCAGCAUAUCUGGUAAGGUAUAAUCCACAUCCAGGCCUACUAUGUCCAGGUGGAGACGUUGUCAUUGUGUUUAAUUUUCUGUUUGGAAAAAUUAGAUCAGACUGGAAUACAAUGAAAUUGGAAUUGAAAACUCACAACGAAUCCGUCCAUUAUGAUGUCAGACAUUAUACAAAUGUUAUGAGGAAACAUGAAAAGAAAAGGUGGUUGUUGGUGUUUUUUUUUUCUUUGCUUGUUUGUUUUUUUGGUUUUAGCAAAGAACAGGUAUGAAUGACACAUCCUGGAAUAAAUUUCAACUGGAAACUGCUUCUUAACUGUUAGACAAGUAAGGAAGUAGAAUUACUGCUGAGAAGGAUGAGUUAGAGAAAAUUCAGUGAUUGAAAAUGAAAUGUAUCACUUUAUGGAGGGUUUAUGUGAUACAGUUGCUUACAGCAAUGAAGCACUGUAUUUGGUCAUCCAGGAAACCCUUUCAGUCCCCAUGUUUGUGAUGACAGUGCAGAAGUUCCCGAUUCCUGAAAUUAACUGCGAGUUAACAAAUAAGUUGUAUUGCCAGGCUCCUGAGGAGCCUAUGUGAUGCUUAUAUGAUGCUUAUAGGUAAUGCAAUGCUAUCUGUCUGGAGAUUAUAUUUUUACAAAUGUUAAAUCUUUCAAGCGUUUGUAUGUAUUUUCUUGGUACAUUUUACUUUCCUGUGGUGAAUCAUACAAGGUGCGUAACGUGGAGCUUAAAACCAAGUGGACGUUACUGCUAUGAGCUAAUGGUACAGAUUCCGCUUUUCCCCUACUCCCAAGGAAAUUUAGUGCAGUAGCUAAGGCUGAGCCCGGGAAGGUCACUGCUGUCACCGACAGAGCUGGAUGUCAGGUUACAGUGGGGGAAGGUGGCGUUCAGAGACAGGGAAAAUGUCUAGAGCAGGUUCUUUUGUUUACUCAAUUGGGAAGAAGCUCCUUAACUUUAAAGAAACAGGAAAUUAAAAAGAGCUCGGUUGUACCGGUUUAUAUGCACAGGGCUUCAGCCGUAUGAGGAUUGGUGCAAGACUGAGAAUAUAAAUAGAUUUGGACUGCAGCUGCUGUUUUAUUUUUCAGUAUUUUUUCCAACUGCUAGUAGAGAAGGGGCACAGAUAUAAUUUACUAUUUUGUUAUUUCUGUUGUGCUAGGAAUUGCUCAACCAAACACCAUAUAUACACACACCCGGCAUACGAAAAAGACAACUUCUGUAUUCUGACACAGGGUAUUAAGUCUUUUGUCCCAAGUUGGGCAACUAAUCAGAUAGAAACAUUUAUUAAGAUGUUUAAUUUGAAUACUUUUUGAAGUAAAACAAGAGAAAGCAAUUUUCCUAAUAUCGUGUGUGAGCUACAGUGUUAAGAAUGCAAAUUUACUGUUUUUCUUAGGUAUCAAACAGUUCAACAGACAGACAAAAUAUGCCUGAAUAAUGCAACUAUAGCAGGGCUCUGUGUGCCUAUAGCCCCUAGAUAUAUAACUAAGGAGGAUUUACAGGCAGUCCCUAGACAGCUGGCUAAGAAAGGUAAUUCCAGGACGUAUCUUAAUUCAGUUUGAUCUUGAGGAAGGGAUGGUAUAUCAGACGUACAUCUCCAGAGUUGUCCCUGAGAGGACCAUAUUAGACAUUACUAGAAGAAUUCUCAUCUGUUUUCUCCUUUCUGUUCUCAUGGGAGGUAAUCAUGGCUUGGUUUUGCUUCCUGCCACAUGAAAAAACCACAGAGCGGACCACAGGUCUGCCAAGUAACUGUUCAAGUAAGUAUAAAGCAAGAAAGGCUAGGUGCAGCUCCUGUGAACAGACGGUGAAAGGAGUGAUACAGCCAUGAAACUGCUCCUCUGUUACUAGACUGGCAUGAAAAGAGAUGAAGACUUUUGCACAUUCGCUCCCAAAUUCUAGGUGGCCCACUGAGAAGUUUAUAAUACUAACAUAAAUGCACUAGGGUUUAAUUAAUGAUGCCUGCAUCUAUAGCUCCGGAAGCUUUACAGUUAAAAAAAUAAAAGCCCUAUUACUGAAAAUAAAACUAAGAUUCCAGAAAAAUAAUGCUUGAUCAGUAGUGCUGUAAGGGUUGUCAGUUUGUUGGUGUGUAAUCAUAUACACACACACUCUCACACGCUUACUUAAAUAAAAAUUAAAGGCAAACUCUUGCAAUUACAGUUGGCCAGGAUUUUUUCCAAGAUUAGCUUCAUGAGAAAGUGACAAUUUGUUAAAAGAUUUGAAGAAAAGGUCAGUUUCUGAUAAAGCUUCAGAAGGAAAGUUAUUUCAAGUCCAUCAUGAAUACCUGCUAAUGAAAGACCUAGCAGGCUGGUUCUUAUGGCAUUCAUUAAGGGGUGAGAGAAGCAAGGUCUUAGGGCUGAUUUAGUGGCUAUUCCUGUGUUUUCCCUCAGAAAAGCUCAGGUUAGCAGAAAUACAGAAAGUAACUAAGGGAAGGGGAAAAAACCCCAAAGUUCUGCAUAGAUGUCUUGCAGCAAUCCAUCUGGCUCCAGUCAUAGUUUUACAUGAGCUUAACCCCUCCAAACAGAUUCUCCCUCACUUUUUCUCACUACCUGUUAAUUACUUUACAGCAGUUUUAUUGUUAAGAUUGCCUCUUUACCAGAGAAAGUGAUCAUUGUUUGAAUGAAUAGGGAAGUACCCAGUGAUGGCAAAGAUCACUGAACCCUGAAAUUGCCAUACAAUUAAGUCUUAGGUGGCAGUCUGCAUUUACAUUGACUGUAAAAUGCCUUCCCCUUCCCUUCCGUCGUUCGUUCCCUCCAAGCAGAUUUGCUCUGUACAUGCUGAAGUGUUGAGUUCUGAGUGCUCUCAAGUUUUUGUUGUGGAAUCAAAAGUAAAAUCCAUCGCCUUUGUGUCUUACUAUAAAAAUCCUUUUUGUGACUGGAGAGAGUGUGCAACUAUUGCAUUAAGAAUGCAGUCAGUCAAGUGCCAGCACAGAGUGGCUCCGUAGACCACUGCAGCAAUGAACUAUUCUCUUAGACAAGAGGCAAAUAAUAGAGUCAGCUAUAGAUUUUUCUCUUACUUCAUCUUUCUUGGGUAUCUUUAUUUUCAUAGGGAAUCAUGUAAUGCCUUUACACUGAAAAAAGUCAAAGCAGAAAUACUAGUAAAAGAACUCGGUGGUGUUUGAAAGCACCUACUACAGUUUGCCAGCAUCUGAAUUUUUGUCAGAUGUCUCCAUGUUUGAUUUCUGCCUUUAGCAGCUGUUUCAAGUCAAAGAGACAGGCCUUAUCUUGUAUAAAUUAGUACUGAUCUGUAACAGUAGUUGGGAUACAUAGGUGUUCAAAUAGACAUAACAUUUAAUUCAUAGGUCAUAAUUACUCUGUGCUUAGCUUUCCAGUUACGGAACUGCAAGUCUCAUUUAUAUGCAGCACAGUUAACAGUAUGGAUCUUUUGGUAGAGGCAAGAAGAGGAUGUCCUUAUAUUAAAAAAAAAUCAGAAAGUUAUCUUGCUCAAGAAGCAACAAAUUAAACCAACUUUACCGUGUAUAAAUGCCAUACAGUUUUUGCAUCAAAAUGACAAAAUGUUGAUAGGGAAUAUGGUGGGAGAUGUUUUAGGAUAUUACUAGUUUAACAAUAACAAGAAAGUCUACAUGCAGAUGCUGAAAAAUAUCCAAGGCAGAGGGUUGUAAUAGCAUGCUCUCACAAAGGUGUCAAGGAGGCCAUAACAAUAUAUAUUUCUUCUUAAGUGAAGAGAGGAAAAAAUGCCAUGAUAAAAGCAGACCCAGGAGCAUACAUUAGUCUUUGUUGCAAUUUCCAUACUUAAUCAGGAUACAAAGCAAGACAAAUAACUAAAAGCUAUGCCGGCAGAGUUAUAGAAGUUUGUGAAAAAUGUCAGAAUCAAAACUCAUGUAGAUCUCUAGCCAUGGUAUGAACAAUUAUGAGUUUGUAACAUUUUGUAUCAGUGCAAAAACUUAAGUAGGGAACAGCAAUACCCGUUUAUAGGCAAACACUACCAAAAGGUGUUGGAUACCUACUUAAAUAAUUUUAAAAAUGCCCAUAGGCAAUAUAACUGAUGGAUGGAUUCAAUUUAUUUUUUUAAGAUGAGCUUAGAAGCUUUUUUAAUCCUUUACUGCUAGUGUUUCAUUCUUUCUCUCCACUGCUCUUGUAUGUUGUGGAAGUCCCAAACUCAAAUAGAACAUGAAAGAAAUUAAGUGUAUGCUUCAUAUCUGUGUAACUGAAGAGCUGUAAAGGAUUUUAAGGGCCUCAACUCAUAUUUUUUGAAUACCCAGAUGAUGGAGAUAUAAAAUACAUCAAGUCAGACCUUAUAACCUUGGUCCCUCUCAAAAAAAACCAAGGAAGCCUUUUAUAGUAAAGUGGACUUUGGCUGCAGUGAGGUUUGGCAAGUGUUCCUGGCUGCCACAGCACAUUUGUAGCUAGACUGACAGUGGAGGUUCUCUAAACAUCCAAGCACAGCCAGGUUUGUCAUGUCCUGGUUCUUGAUGUUUGUAAAGUAGUCUUGCUCCUCUCUCAUAAAACACCGUGUAACAGAACCAAGUAUUCAGCAAUCUAUGACAGGAGACACUAUUAUUUUGGAAGCACAACUAUUUUUCUUCAAAUUAUCCUGUUGACAAGACAAAAGGCUCAAAAAUUAGUUUUUGUCCCAAUUUUGACCAAUCUUUGAAUUGAGAUCCUUCUCAGUUUAAAAGUUUAAAAUGCCUCAAAAUGUUUGUAUAAGUCUUCCAUUAUAACAAAAGAUAAAAAUAAAGAUCACCAUAUGUGUUAUAUAAGAUUUAAGGUCUAUCCCUCUGAAUUAGAUUAAACUAAAUUAAAAUUGACAUUGUUGCUUUAUUUCUCAGUGCUCUGCUAGUGGAGUCAUGUUGUGAAGCGUUACAAUUCAAGACCAGCAAAGAAAACAGUAUUCAAACAGUAUUCAAUUCUACCUGCUUUCGCAAAGAGAAACAUAGCAACAGAUUUGCUCUCUUUUAACUAAAAAAGGCUAAAUUAUUUUAAAAUAUGUUGAAGCUUUAUGCAAGUGUAUGUCCAUCAACAAUAACUGAAAACCAACAGAAAUUCAAGCAAUGGUCUUGCCCUCCCCCUUCCAGCAGUGUUCUCUCAACUUACAGUCCUUCCUCAAAUGUAUCGUUGGCAGUCCUACCAGCGUGCAGCAAAAAGAAAAGCCUGUGAUGCCAUAAAUAGCGAAGAACCCCAAAACAAGGCCCUAACACACCCUCCCGCCUGCUCCCACAUCCCACACAUUUCUGCGGUGCAGCUAGAAACCCACACCCCAGCUGCGGCAAUCAGAAUUCCCACAAAGCUGUACAGAAGGGGGGGGGGGCGGUGAGUGAUAUUUUUUGCUUUGAAGUGCAGGACUUCAAACCAAAAGUUAGGUAUUUUACAGUUUUUGUCCAUUUUCCAUUACUUUAAGUGUAGUGUUGUUUUCCAAUAUUCAAAAGAAAAGUUAUUCCAAGCAAUAUGCUUUCCAUGGGAAGCACUGCAGUAAUGCUCUUGAGCAUAGAUUCUGAUUAAACAGUGGUGAGCCUUGCUGUCAGUAGCCUAUUUGCUAGCCACUCUUCAGAGACAAACACGGAUUUUACAUCUGUGCUUUUCUCUAAAAGCAGUUGGUGACAUAUGAAAAGAUUUGAUUUGUAAAGGUCUGAGGCAAUAGACUUCAUCUUUAUAGCAUACAGAGAAAGGAAGCAUGAAGCAGUGAAUCCCACAGCUGCUGAGAGAAGAACCAUUCUUUUCCAAGAUCACCAUUUAUCAGACAGAUGAAAGAGGAAUUCAUUUCUGUGAGAAUUGUCUCAACCGCAGUGCAGAAUAUAUAUACACUACCUCCUCAAGCAUGUGCAGUUUUAAUGAGUUUCCACCUGCCAACAAAAUCUGAAGUUCUGCAGACUCCCUUGCGCCCCGCUACACCUUUAUUUCGACUUGUUAAAAACUUCUCAUUCAAACAGUAUGCUCUAACUUUAUAUAAAUGGGCUGAAUCCGCUGCAUAAAAAAUCAACCAAUAAUCACCCUUUUUUUUUAAGUAAGAAUCAAUAAUCAUCAGUAAUCACCCUUUGUUUUUAGGGUGUGGACAUCUGAAAAUCCAUAUAUGUAAAGCUUUCAAUAUCAGGGAAUACGUGGCGUGAGGUAUGAGGUAAAGGACAACUACAGCCAUAAUAUGCACAAACUCACAGCAAUUUCUAGAUAUCCGCAGAUGCAAACAGCAAAAUCUGACAUAAUAACUUGAAAAAUUAUUUAUACUUAAUUAACUUGCAUAUUUGGACAGCCGUAGUGUGUUCUUAGUAGGUCAUAUAUAUUAUCAGCUGCAAAGUCUUAAAUGGAAGAUAUUUUAAGGCAUUAAGAUGUUAGCUCUUUAACGCUCCACAGAUACGGCCAAUGCACAGCAACGACGGCAUAGGCACUACUCUAACAAUUCUACCAAGUUCAGGCAUUAGGGUGGGUGGGAACUCUUUUUAUAAAUAGCAAAGAACUUGAAUCUAAAUUUCAGUCACUCAGUUACUUUGAUCCUAUAUUGAAGUCAGUUAUAGAAAACAGCAAAGGAAAUAAAAUCAUAGACAAAGCAGUGUUAGUGAUUAAAAAAAUUAUUUCAGUGACAAACAUUGAAAAAAUGUAUAAAACUUUAAACAGAGAUAGACAAAGAAGAUAAGAUUUUCCUUUAGUAAACCCCUCUUAGAUAUUGAUUGCUGUUUCUCUUAGAAGAAUUUUGCUAGCUAUCUUAAAGAAACUGUCCUUUGAGCAUAAAACCAGUAGAGACCAAUUAAAACACAGAACAUCCUCCAGUAACUUACACUGGACAGCCAGAACUAAAAUAUUUUUAGUACAGCUUAGGAAGUCAGAGCGUUCUGGAAAUUGCAUACUCUGUUUGAUCUUUUUACAGAUAAAUGAGCAGAAGGCUCAGAAGAACUAGCAUUUAUUUGAAAAAUAGCUUUUUAUAUCCAGUAAGAAAAUAUGUAAAUAUAUAAAAUCUUUCUCUAUCCCAUAUUGAAGUUAUCUGAAACAACUCUCCAUGUAUUUCUUUAGAUUUUAAGUAAAUUUUAAUUGUUUCAUUUAUCAUGAAAUCAAGAGAGAUGUCUCAAAACUUCAGUCAAAUAUUUGAAGAUAAAUUUCACAGAAAUAUAAAAAUUAAACUUGCAUGAGUUAGUGUUUUGUUUGAAGAAGCUUUAGGCACCUAGGUUAGUUAGAAUCUUUAAAAUAUGAAUCUUAGAUUAUGAUAUUGCACAGAAAGUCCAAAUUCUUUGGCAGAGAGUCACCUGGUAAGGUGGUAAGAAUUAGAAACAGUUAUUGUUUAAAGCAUCCUCCAUAAUAUGUUUGGACAUAAAUGGAAAAGGUGUUUUUUUAAAAGUCAUAUAAUAAGGGUUUUUCAAUGAGGUAUUUAAGUCUGCAGUUGUUUACCAGGGCUCCAGCAUCCAUUUCUUUGCUUUUGAGGGUUCCGUCAGUGUAAACACAAGGCAGUGAGUAUCAUCUGUACUCUAUUGUAUAUUAACCCAUCUCUGGUUACUUCAAAAUUUGAGCAGGAUUAAGAAACGUAUAGUUUGAUUCUCACUGAGGAAGCACAGGUAAACACUGGAUGCUAAUAGCCCAACUCUUCCCGCAGCAGCCACAGAACAGUAAACCAGGUCACCAUCUCUCUGGGCCGGGUGACGUCGGCAGCUGGACACUUUUAGCAGCUAAUUUGUCUACUAUUGUCCAGCUCUAAAUCCAGACUCCAGAAGAAAAUGUGGAUAACUUCUUUUUCCUAUUUCCAAAACUUGAUUCUUUCUACUGUGUUCUUUCCUGAUCUUUACUCUGUCCUUUCUAAUCUUUAUUCUCUCAGCUGCAGUCUGAAAGCCUCCUGGGUCCCCCGCUUCCCCCUCCUGAAACUUCAGACUCCUCUCAGCCCUUUUUACUCACCUUUAUAUCUGCAGUCCUCUCGUAUUCUCAACCUUUAACUUCCAUUUCUAAAAUUUCCGCAGUUGCUCUCCUCCAUUCCACCCGAUUUCUCAAGAGCUCAGUCAACUGCCAGUGCAAAAAAAAAAUGUUUAGUUUUUUUUUCCUACAGUGCUGAAAAGUCUCCAGCUAUGUGUACACGUCACAAAGGGUCCUCUUAUCUCACCCCUUCUGUUGUGUCAGCAAAUGCCAUGAAAUCUAAGCAAUCUAAGCAAGCUUUGUACCUCUAUCAGGCGCUGCUUCAUAUCCUUUUCUGCUGUUCAGCUCUAAAACUAAUGUUCCCAGACCAAGGUCAGACUAGCUGUUUCCUUUUUAGGCUUAUGUCUUUUACACACAGAUCCUGCCCUAUUACCAUGUUCAUUUCGGUCAGUUAUUUUUUUCCACUGUGUCAGCAGGGGAUUACCAAGAACACAAGCUCCCAGUUCUAACCAAGAGCCCUUUCUCUGCAUUCCUCCUUCCAGCUCUAAGCAUCACGAAGCAGCCGUUGCACUCUAGGAUGGCGUAUUUCCAGUCCUUUCGCUUUCCAAAGCUGGGGCCGUUGCUGCAUGCUCAGUUAGUCUGAGGAGAUAGUUCAUUAGUAGUCUGGACAUGUAGAUGCUGUGUGAGAACAGACAAUAUCCAGUCUGCUCAGGCAAAAAAAGUUGUUAAGGGCUUGCCUACAAGAACACCACUUUCCAAGAAUUAACCAAAAUUCUUAGUAUUAUGAUUUAGAAAAGGUGGAUAGGUUUUCAUAGGGUCAGGAAAGGCGUAGUAAUGCUACGGGCUGUCACGUUACGUUUCUGCACCAAAGUCCAAGUUUUUCAAAAAGCAAGGGCUCAAGAGAAUGAAGGGGAAGUAAAAUCCAAACUAAAAAACCCUAACAAAGCAGCACUAUGCUACUGUCUUAGGUUACCUCAGAGACAUCUGCAACUACUUCAGUUGAAAUGAAAUGAAAUGAAUAAAAUAAAAUAAAAUAAAAUAAAAUUAAAUUAAACCAAAACAUUGAAGGGAAUAUGUAUGUGUAUCUGUUUGUGUGUAUAUAUAAAAAUCUAGAACAGCCAUUUGGAAUGGAAGAAUGCAUAUAGCUGCUUGGCAAAGUUAUGAGCUAGUGAGGACUACACUCUACUAAAGAAAGUAUCAGAAAACCUUAAUGAUAGCCAUGCUGACAUCCCCACUUAAAAUGUAUAUGCUAUCAAGACAGCCAGCAAAAAGGAUCUCUUCCUAAUGGGGCUGUGUAAAGCAGUCUAGGUCUUCAGCUUUUGUAAAAUGGAACCCUGUUCUCAUUAAAAAUGAGGCUUUUGGGCAAAAAAGAGCCCCAACCCUACACAAUCUCGUGUGUGUUUCCAUGACAAGCAGCCUUUAUUUGCAUUCUCUUUUCACAGUAAGCUUUCAGCAGCAGAAUCAUAAAGACCCCCAGGGAAAUGCAUCAGUUAUUCUGUCCUCAGAGAGUACAUUUAUGCCAUAUCAUUGCUACCUUAAAAGAGGUUUCUUAUUGUCCUCAGGAGAACAUUUCAGUUGCAUUACCCUGGCAGUGGCUGCUUCCAAAUGUAUUUUCAUCCUCAGGAAGAGCUGAUGACGACGCUUUGUUGGUAAGAAAAUCAGAAGAGUUUUCACAAACAUUUAAAUUCAGCUAUACUAGAAAUUCCUUGUCAGCUUAUGAAAGCAUCUUUGAGAAGCAAAGCAUCGUAGGCUUCUUUCUGGGUUCACAGAGUUUUGCAUUAGUGGAAGGAGAAGAAACUGAAACUUGCUCACAGAAGUACAAAGAAAAAAUCCAGCAACCUAGUGGGGUAAUACUGGGCAUCCUAGAGCACUACGUUAUCUGUUCCGCAUGCACAUAAGAAACCGUAAUAAUAUCUUGUCUUUAAUCUUUAGAAAAUAAAAAGAAUUAUCAGUGCCAGUCACUCCUGAGACUAAGGUAACUCAAUAAACUAAGGUAACUCAGGGCAACCUGAGUAUUUUUUACCUGCAGGGUAUUAGACUUGAAGAAGGAUGGAAAUUGAAUCUAUCCUUCAUCCAAAUUGAAAAGUGAGUGAAACUCACAAUUUCACUACAGCUUUAAGAUAACAUUUGUUUUUAAUCAGCUUUAUAAAGAAAACAGGGAUAAACAACUUCAGAAAAGACCAAAACCCAAAACCAUUCUAGUUUAAAAAAACAUUUGAGAAGUAUUUAGGGGAAAAUGGGUUGCCCCUGCAAAGCAUCAUACAAAUCUUGGAAUAAAAAUCACUCUUUCCACUUUCAUUACUAAGGCAGAAAAAGCAAAGCAAGUGGGAAUGGCUCUGUAGCCAUAGCAACAUUUGCCAUUAUUUUUUUUCAAAGAAUUUUUGAGGCACUACAAUUUGGAUUCUGCAUUCUGAGGAUAAAGUUUGUAUCAAGGAAAAGAAUAGAAUAACUUUAUUUUGUUGCAGUGCCUUAUUUAAGUGCCAAUUUCUUUUUUUUUCCAGGAAGAACUAGCUUAAAAAAAAGGUUGCAUGCAAACAAUAAGAAAUGUAAUUGCUUACACAUUUUUUUUUCUUUAAUAAGGUGUAAGACAUAGUAUGUAGCUCUCAGGAGAUAGUAUUUUGAAAUUAUUUCCAUGCAUGAAAACAUACUAAUUUAGAAUGGCUAAUUAUAAGAAAUUUGCAAUAAUGACAUGAAGUGUGGAAAAAGAAAUGUAAUUUCCAUAUAGUAUCAGCUUAAUCAUAAAAAUGUUAUUUUUCAUAAUCAUGGGUAUACAUUUCCUAGACACUGUUGCUUGGGGCAAAUAUAAAAAGCUUUCGCUCAGCUUCCCUUCCCCUUACCGGGCACAUACACUUUCAAUUUACAAUUAUUAUGAAGAAUUGUAUUCACAGCAGCUUACAAGCACAGCCAAUUAUUUCACCAACCCCCCCCCCCCCAGCUUACAAUUAAUACUCAUUGUUUAUGAAAAGCCAUACUCAGAAAUAAAGAUACAGUCAGAACACAGAAAGUACUUGAAAUUAUUGGAAGUUAAGUAUAUUGAAAUUCUAAAUAUUUUAAUCUGUAAGGCAAUCUGAACUUAUUCUUCCAAUAUUCCAAUCUAACCAAACAGCUCAGAUAAGCCACGGUCAUUGUCCAAGGGUUCUAGGAGUGCACUGGAUCUCUUUACAGGAUGGUGACAGGUAGGGGCAGGGAGAGAAGGUGACAGAAAGAAAGAGUCUUACUCAUUAAAAUAAGUUCUAGCUAUCAGAGAAAGAGUCGUGGAAGGAAAAAGACAGUGGUCUGGCAAUUGGGCGACGUGUAACGGCUUCCACAACUGCAGAUAUGGAAGUCCUUGCUCAAGUUACUUUUUCUACAUAUUUCAUUUUUAUUUGCGAAAUGAAGUAGUACAGUAAUGACACCUACAUGACAGUUAGUAAGGCACUCAAGUACCACCGAAAUGGCGAUCAUAAAGCCACGACAAAUAGUGCCUAGGGAUCCUUACAGCCUGGGGCUGCAUCCUGAUAAAAUCUUGCAUCCAGUUUGCUUUUUCUUUAUUUUCUUACUUUAGCAUUUCUUGUUAGAGGGCUCAAUUAGGAAUGCUCUUCCACGCUUAAGGUGGUAAAAUUUAUGUGAUUUAUUACCUAAUAAAGGUAAAGCAUUAGGAUUUUAUGUAAAUGGUAUGCGGCUCCCAUGAGGUAGCUAUUCUUCAGGCAAAACUGAGCUACCUGUUUUGCUUUUGGAUACAUGAGACACGGUAUCCCCUUUCAGGACUAAUCUAUGCUAUACGUAGCAAGAUUUAUUUGGAUUUAUAUGAAGGUCAUAUUGGCAACAAGAGAACUAGAAUUCCUGAGAUGUAACGUAUUUCAAAGCUUCAUGCCAAAUGAGGGAAGUAUCCUUUCAAAUUGUUAUGAGAAUAUAUCAGAAAUGAACACAUAAUAAAACUCUGCAUGUAGCUGAUAUCAUUCAUUUAUCCUGGCAGUUUCAAAUGAAAGGCAUUUUUGAUUUUGAAUGAGCACCAUCACGUGUGCAGCAGCCACUCACAGAAGCAAAGAGAGUGUAUCUCACUUUGGGAUCCUGAGCUGGGCCACGUGGAGUUUUUAAGGAUUGGCCAAAUGAGUCCAUUGACUGCGUUAAGGCUUCAACUUCAUUAGUAAAAGGAUGCCCUUUUGAUCUGCUUUAGUGUGUUUCAAUUCAAAGCUCACUAAUUUAAGUCAGGCAAAAAGUGACUGUUUAAUCUGUUCUGUCUGAUUCUGCACAAGACACACGGCAGAGUAUUUGCAUGAACUGCUUAAUCAGCAAGUUGCUGACACAUGACAGUGCAAUCUCCAAAAAGAGGGCAGAGACAAGCAGCUGCGGCUGAUAACCUUUUAUACUUGCACAAUUACCUCUGGAAGAUAUUAAUCCACUGCUUUGCUCCCUGUAAGCACCCAUUGGAAAUAGACCGAAGAGGAAAUGAAGUUUUUUGAGAAACGUCUACAGAAGAGCAAGCUAUCUGGUCUUCUGGCAAAUCAUCUGCCGUGUCAUCAUAUGUUAACCCUACAUCCCAUUGCAAUCUCAUCCUCAUGAUAAGUAACAGCAAGGUUACAGUGACUACUUCAACUAGAAGAUGACAGAGGUACUGACUGAAAUCACUGCCCAUGUUUGUUUGUGGGUAUGUUAACAGCGGGCUUUGGUUUCAGCAGGCAGGCAACAACUCUAGACACACUGCUGAUGGCAAAAGCAAAUGGUCAUCCCUCACAUGCCAGUAAUUUACUGUGAUUGUGCCAUCACGGUUUUCCCCAAACCCCCACCUCUUCCAGAGUUUUUCCCAGUAGCAUCACCUCUCUGCUGCUCUGACGGGGUGGACAAAGAAUACUUCGCUACGACAGCAGAACAGACUGUGCACAGAAUGUUUUUCAAGACAGAAUGCGGAUGGCCACCGACUCACCUCUGCUCACUCACUGGUAACCAAAGAGUUUGCGCAGUCUCUUUUGCAGCUGCUGGCUGCUACAUCUGCUCCCAGCCAACGAGUGCUCUUUGCGUAACGUCCUUGAGGUGAUGAGCACUCGCUCUCUCAGUUAUGCAACAAUGGCAACUUUCAUCAUAUACUCAUCACAUAUCAGCUCAUACCGCGUAUCAGGUCUUCCACGUCUAAGAUUUAUGAUUCUUAACCCGUUCUGGUAGUUUCUGGUAAUGAUUCUCUCCUUUUCCUACUCCAUUGGUUUUCCAUAACAGUAAGCUCUCUUUUUCAAACUCAUAUCACAGUUCUUUGGAAGAAAUGUUAGGAAAGGGAAUUCCAAGGUUUUAAUCAAGAAGAGAUAAACUCACAAUAUCAUUGUCACUGAACACUUUCAAUUUAUUAAUACAUUGCAGCUUCACACAGUGUAUAUAAGUUACAUUUUAUUUAUAAUGUAGAUGUAGGCAAAUAGUAACAUGCACACAACUUACUACAAUAGCUUAUUUUCCUGCUCUUCUAACAUUUAAAACUGUUUAUUUUAUGCUGUGUAGGAGGCAACGGGUAUGUAUAAAGGCAGGGUUUUUUGCCACAAUGACAAAUUUCAGUAACAUCUGAGUAACUCAAGGAUUUAUCAAACUUUAAAAUCUUAAUUUGUCUGAAAACAAAAAUUAAUCCAAGACUGACCUACUUAUUGUAAGCUUCUGGAAGUAAUUGCUUACACUUGUAAAACACUUAAAAAUUAUAAACUGUCAGAUUAUGUAAGAAAUCCAAAGCACCCAACACUCAGGUAAGACUUUAGCAAAAAAGCAUCUUUCAAAAACAUUUUAUAGGACCAUUACAUAACUAAACUUACCUGCACCAAGUGGUGUCUAUUUACCACUGGCAACUGAAAAAAUCUAAGUGCCGAAACCAGCCAAGACAUCAGUUCCACAGCACGUGGCAGGUUUUCAGAAUCAUCCCCUCCCUUUUUUUCCAGUAGGAACAAUUUUAUACCGAUCACCCACAUAAAUCUUCUGAAGUGAUGUCUGUAGAGCCUCUGUGUUGUAAUAUGUAGAACAAUGACUGCAUUCAGAAAGGCAAUCAUAUUUUUUGUUGUUUUCUUAACCUUAUCCCUCUCCUUAAUUUAUAAGAAGAGACACUAGAUAAGGAUUAAUAUCACUGUUAUUUGUGAAGGAGCUGGCAUAAGUGUAAAAUUGAUAAUUCCUGAAAUACUAUAGGAGAAAAAAAACCACAAAGGCAAAAACCAGCCCCCGCAACAAACCCCCAAAACACACCACAAAUAACAUUCAGGAUAUAAAUUUAGCAGAAUCAGAAAAAAACCCCACAACUGGAAUAUGACUUAUUCAUUAUUUUUUAUUACAUGGCAGAUGUCAGUCAGCAGGAAAGUAACAAAGAAAGCAAGAUAAGAGUGCCUUCCUUCUCUGCAGCAACAGCUCUUCAACCUGUAAUGGCAGUUAUUAUGCUCAGUUUUAGAUGUGAAAGUUGAUACUUAAAAAUCCAUUUGUAUCAAAUCACGAUUUAUUUAAUAAACAUUAAUCAGAUGCAGAAGAGUCUGCCAAAAUAUGAAAUUGUUAAUUGAAAUAAUUCACUGCAUGUAGAAAAGCCAGCUUUUAUCAAAAUCUGCUGACCAGGGAGUUAAGCCUGCUCCCCUGAGCCAGUGCGCUGACAGAACAGAACCUAAGGGGCUUUAAGGGGAACAGCGCACCGCGUAGUAAUGCUUCUACCUUGGAUCUCUCUUCUUUUUUAUCUUUCUUUUUUGUGCAUGAUCCAAAUGUAAACGACUCCAUGACAGGCAGUCACAACAAGCUGUUAGGUCUAUUGUGCUAAUCAUCUGCAAAUUAAACUGUAGUAAACCUAAAGUAAGUCUCUCUGCUAAAGUUGUUAAGACCUUCUCUGUCAAUAACCUGCACAAAAUGAAUGAUACAAUUAUACCUCAGCACAAACCGUAAUGACUACAAAUUACAGCAGUAAUUGUAUUAUACAGCAAAGUUAUUUGAUUAAUUGCUUACAAGGCAUAAUUAAUAAGCUGAAAUAAGAUUAUCUCUGUAUUCCAUCUUCACAGUCUAUUUUUCUGAAGAGUCAUUUUUGGGAAUUUUUUUACCCAACACCUCAUUGCUCUCACUGCCAGAAGUACUGAAUGCAUUUUUUGGGGGUGAAAGUCAUGAGCAUCAUCUUAAAUUACUGAGUAGAUGAUUAUAAUGAAGAUUAUGAAAAUCAGGGAAGAAGCCAGAACAGCAGUCGAGUCUGUUUUGGAAUAAGCUAAAGACCACCUGAGAGCUUUACAACUUCGUCCUUUGACAUGAUCUGGAAAAACAAUUUUCAGCAUCUUCAAACAAGGACGUUGGUCACCAGAAGAAGCUAUAUCAAACACCUGUACAAGCAAGCCUCAGCAUAAUAAACCCCCCCAUCAAGAUGAAGCUGCUGCACAAGCUUGAAUUAUUACAUUGUCAGCCAUGCUGUGAAAUCAACAGGAAGAACAAGACAGUAUAGCACAUCAGUAAAAAAUCUGCAUCUCUGCUUGACUGCACAGAUCGCAGCAUCUCCUAAGAUGCUGUUAUGCUCCUGCCAGUAUCAAUAUACCAUGAAGAGAUUUCCCAAUGAGCAGUGAUACAAUAGCUAGCCCUUUUGUCAGACUCUGAAUGGCACCAAUGUCUUUUGGUGCCCAGUCUAUCGGACAAUGCCUCCUUCUGUGGUGCCUCAAACCAGCAGUAAUCCAAACUUCCAACACAAUGUUCUGUUGUCUGUUUUUCUGCAGCAAGCUAACGAUGCUGACAGGACCUCACAUCUUACCAAGUAAUCAUUGUGUCGAAGGUACUUGGGUGGUAAUGAUUAUCUCUGCCUUUUGCCAGCUUUUUUCCUCCUUCAUUUUAUUCAUUGUUUUAACGGCAAUUGAAAAGACCAAACAAAAUUGAUAGUAAAAUAUACUACAGCAGCACUAAACACUGGCCAUCUUGUUGCACUGAUUAGACAAAACCGAUUCCGCUGAAUUUGAAUGUCGCUGGGAAUCCAAAACAUAAAUGUGUGGACAACUGUGGUGAUACAUGCUUUAUUUUUACUUGUUUGCAAAAAAAAAAAGCUGUAACUUUAUCAAACAUUAUAAACACUUUCAUUGCUGACAACCUUCUUCAAACAUCAACUACUGUAAUUUUCCACGCAUUUACAUAAUACUGGCUGAUUAAGCUGUCAGGGUUUUCAUUGCUGCUUGCUGCAGAAAUCAAAAAUAAAAACAUCGCAUUCGCGGUGGUUUGCCCUCAUAAGAUUUUGACACUAGAGCGUAGAAAACAGUAAAAUGGCUAAUCUGAACUGUAUGGAGGAGUAUUCUCCUCAAUUACUAAUUCUCUCAUCCACGCAGGAUUUAGCUGCUUUCCCCCAGUAUAAGAUCUGCCCCAGUUGGCAGCAACCCACUUAACAACCCAACCCAUGGAUCUGCAGUCCCACCUGGAGAGGACCACUGAAGUGGACACCCUCUGCAUUCACAACUCGUUCUGAAUUACAGGGUCUCCCACCCUGACAAUGCAAUUCUUACAGGAACUCUGAAGCCUCAAGGUCUGAAUCAUCUGAGAACCUACAGAGCUCUUACGAGAACUCAGCCUGGCUCUCCCCUAUGUUAUUUCAAUAUAAUGUAAUGCCACAUCUGCUGUGGCUUCCACUGAAGGACCACUGAUAUUCAUCUCAAGAUACAUAUGGCAAGAUAUGAGUUAUCGUAUGAACAUACCAGAUUUAUAACAAAAAUUAGCAUGUAAUUAUCACUGCUGCCUUUAUGUUGCCAUGCAGUUUCCUCUCAAAUACAUGUUGUCUCAUGGCUUAUAAUUAAAUUGCCAUCUCUGUAACUUCCACAGCAAGACCAAAGUUUUGAAGUUGAAAGGGUGUUCUGCAGAGAACUACCAAUAAUACAGAACAUCUAUAAAGCCAAAGGAAUACUCUGCUGUGGAUAAAAAACGAGUACUUUGAAUGCCUUUCCUUUCUGUAGAAAAGGAUAAGUACAAGAACUUUUGCUGCUGAACACUUUAAAAAUAUAAUUUUAAAAUAUCACAGAAAGGUAAAAGUAAUAAAUCCGUCCCCUAUGAAAGCAUCCCAUCUCGUUCCAAUAGAGUUUAAAUUAAUCCAGUCCAAAUAAAAACCCACAUAUACCAGUUUAACACUAUUCCAAAAAGGUGUUUAACAAUCCACAAUAUUAAACCACAAAAACAGCUGUGCCAAAGCUUCCCAAGCCACAAGAACUUAUUCUUAUGAACUGGUCUAUCCUAGCAUCGCAACCAGUUUAAGACAUAAUCAACUUUAGAAACACAAUUCUAAAAUAAGAACACAUAAAAGUUGUCUAGAAUGCUUGUGAGAAUUCUUCUUAAAUUUCUUCUUAAAAUUUUCCUUAACACCUUAAAUUGCCUCCAAAGCUCCAUUUGAGAACAUUCAUUUUCCCGGUUGUCAUCUUCACACCCAUUUACAAUAAUUUUCAUAGUCCAGAAAAAAAUGGAUUUUAUUUUUCUUCUGAAAAAGGUACAGAAUGGUCAGCUGCACUGUGACAUAGUGGUGUGCUUCUGCCCUCAUCUGCAACUAAUCUGCUUUCCUCAUUGAAAGCUGUCUUUUUAUCUUAGGCUGAGUUUUCACAGGGAAAUUAACAAUACUCUUAUGCUUACUGUGAAGUGUUAAUCCCUACACUAUAAAGAGAAAAGAUACUGUUAUAACUUAGUACCCCUUUAAGUGUUUUAUCUUCAACCAAGCUAUACCUGUUUUCCCCUUCUACUUCAGCUGUGCAUUGUGAAAGUCAAAAUAUAGUAGACACUUUUCAUCUUUUAUAGACUUGGUUUAUGUCACUGAAAUUAAUGCAACACCUCAACUCUCAAUUGAAAUCUAAGUACUGUACCGUGUUAUGUAAAUAAUUCCUUUGAACUGAAAAAAAUGAAUAGGUCAUUACCUGUAAUUCUGCAUCUGUCCGGUAAAGAAGGCCUAUGCCGUUUGAGCUUUUUGGUUAUUUUUAUUGUGUUAGUGGCAGGGAUGAGAUAACUGGAGCUGGAAAGAAAGUGGGGAUUAUACUGGACGUCUAGUGAGUGCAACUGUGUAUCAACUUUUUACUCUUCAUAAAGCUGAAAUUUUAGUUAUUCCACUUCAGAAAAAAAAUCUGAAAUUAAAUACGAUUGUAUGAAUGGCAAAUUACUAAUGCACUGAUUUACACUCUGGUGAAGGUUUUGGUGAACCUUUCCAUCUCUAUAAUGAUGAAAAGGAAGGUAAAAUUACUUUUUCAUGACCAGAAGAGAGAUGCAUCUUUACAAUAAAGAUUUUCAGAAGCAAUACUAUACUUCUACUCCUAUUACUUCAAAAAUUUUGUGAGUCUUGAGUCAUUAAGAGUCUAUAAAAAAUUCUUUCAGUGGAAACAGAAAAGCCCACAUGAUUUGAUUGGUUUUAAUUGUAGCAAGUUCUAUUGAUUUCCUGUAGGAUCCACAGGAAGUACAGGUUGAAAAUGAAUGACAGAAUGUUUCCUUCAGAAUAAGAGAGCUAUCAGCUGUGUAAUAAGGGCUCAGGGAGCCUAAGCAAUUAUGCAAAAUUCAAAGGCAUCUGGAGAACAUGAACAGUUA